rnacentral:rRNA from 1 species
GACGUAGGGGGCCAGCGUUGUCCGGAGUUACUGGGCGUAAAGCGCACGCAGGCGGUCCAUCGCGUCGGGGGUGACAGUGCUCGGCUUAACUGAGCAAGCGCUCUUGAAACGGGUGGACUUGAGGGCCAGCGAGGGAGUCGGAACUCCGGGUGGAGCGGUGAAAUGCGUAGAGAUCCGGAAGAACACCGAAGGCGAAGGCAGACUCCUGGCUGGUUCCUGACGCUCAGGUGCGAAAGCGAGGGGAG